rnacentral:lncRNA from 1 species
CUUUGAUGCUGCAGCGACCCAGAGUAAAACCCAUGGUCAGGUUGUUUACUAUCUGCAUACCUUACAUUUCACAGCUAUAAAACAGAUCAUAACUCUCCUUGGUGUAGCUUUCUCAAAGACCAUGGUGACCAAAAGGACGUGGUAGAUGGAAACUCUGAGUGAAACAGAUGGAAAGGUACACAGAAGCAGAAAGACAGAAGGGCCUGGAGGUGAACAAAAGCAAGUUACAUGCUAGCAAAGUGAUGUUCAGCAUGGAGGUAGAACAACAGGGAUGAUUCCUCUCACCUUUGCCAAGAGUUCCUCUUUGUUGAAAGCUGGACAAGGGACAGGGAAACUUUGAAGGCACGAUGUGACACAGGCUUUCUAUGGCACCCAGCGCUCCAGUCAUUACAUCUACAGUCCAAACAUCAGGAAGAAAGAACAAAAAGUGAAGUGCACCAGCUGAGUCAGCUGACUCUAUCAUGCUACUCAGAGGACAACUCUCAUGGGCCCACACUGAGUCCUUUGUCCAUCCCUACAGGCCAGCAAGGAAGAAAAGUGUGGACUUUAGGUUGCUUUCACUUGUACCUCAAAUAAAACUGUGUUUCUGAGUAAGAAAAAGAAUAAACACUGGAAGGCAUUGAUGGUCUCUGGCCAGCCUUGACACCCGGUGGGAGAGCAAGGAGUCAGAUGUGAGCACAGACGUGUAACUUUGAACUUUUGAGUACCGAUCCUGGGGCUAGAGAUAAGCUGCAUGCUUCCUCUACAUGCC